CAGCGCCGGCCAAUCGCGGAGCCGGCUGCAGCGUCGGUCAGGGAGGCCGGCGGCGGACGGCCGGGGUCGCGCAGGUCUUCGGAGAUGGCCUCGGAGCAGCAGCCCGUAGUGGUGACCUGCACCGCGCCGGUCAACAUCGCGGUCAUCAAGUACUGGGGAAAGCGCGAUGAGGAGCUGAUCCUGCCCAUCAACUCUUCCCUGAGCGUCACGCUGCACCAGCAUCAGUUGAAAACCACCACGACGGCCGCCAUCAGCAAAGACUUCACCAAGGACCGGAUUUGGCUGAACGGCCGAGAGGAGGACGUGGGGCAGCCGCGCAUCCAGGCCUGCCUGAGGGAGAUCCGCCGCCUGGCCCGCAAGCGGAAGAGCGACGGUGACGAGGACGCGCUGCCGCUCUGCCUCAGCUACAAGGUCCACGUGGCCUCGGUGAACAACUUCCCCACGGCCGCGGGCCUGGCCUCCUCGGCAGCGGGCUUCGCCUGCCUCGCCUGCGCCCUGGCCCGCGUCUACGGGGUCGAGGGCGACCUCUCGGAGGUGGCCCGCCGGGGCUCGGGCAGCGCCUGCCGCAGCCUGUAUGGUGGCUUCGUGGAGUGGCAGAUGGGGCAGCGGGCUGACGGGAAGGACAGCAUCGCCCAGCAGGUGGCCCCAGAGUCGCACUGGCCAGAGCUCCGCGUCCUCAUCCUCGUGGUGAGCGCCGAGAAGAAGCUGAUGGGCAGCACGGCGGGCAUGCAGACCAGCGUGGAGACGAGCGCCCUGCUCAGGUUCCGGGCCAAGGCGCUGGUGCCGGCGCGCAUGGCCGAGAUGGCCCGCUGCAUCCGGGAGCGCGACUUCCAGGCCUUUGGCCAGCUGACCAUGAAGGACAGCAACCAGUUCCACGCCACCUGCUUGGACACCUUCCCGCCCAUCUCCUACCUCAGCGACACGUCGCAGCGGGUCAUCCGCCUGGUGCACCGCUUCAACGCGCACCACGGCUGCACCAAGGUGGCCUACUCGUUUGACGCGGGGCCCAACGCCGUGAUCUUCGCCCUGGACGACACCGUGCCCGAGUUUGUGGCCGCCGUGCAGCACAGCUUCCCUCCGGAGCCCAACGGAGACAAGUGGGUUGUGGCCCCAUCCGGGAGCCUUGGUGGGAGGUGGGGAGGCCGUGGCGGGUGUCCGCGUGGGGACCACAGGCGCUGGGACCUCGGCCCGGGGCAUGUGCGCGUGCAGCCAGCGGCUCCUGGGAGGACAGCGGCUGUGCUCGGGGGCCCCCUUCUCAGUGGGGAGACCUGUGCCCACCAGGGGUGCCUUUCAUCUGCCACCGUGGGGGGCAGUGCCACCUCUCUUUGGAGGCCCUGGGUCCUUCCACAGCAAGCGGGACAGACCUUGUGACAAGGACGAGGGGGCUGUGGGCUCACUGCGUGGCCCCCACGGGCAGUGGGGGCUGUAGCUUUAGGCACCAGGCUGAGCUUGGCUGAGGCGUUUUCUUCCUGGGCGCUACGUGCAGUCCGUGUUCGGGGGUGUCUGUUCCGCACGCCUCCCUCCCUGGAUCCAGGACAGCCCUGCCCUCCUCCCGCAGGUUUCUGCAGGGGCUGCCCGUGGAGCCUGCCCUGCUCUCAGACGAGCUCAAAGCCGCACUGGGCACAGACCCCACCCCUGGCGGCAUCAGAUACAUCAUAGCCACUCAGGUGGGCCCUGGGCCUCAAGUCCUGGAUGACCCUGGCGCUCACCUGCUGGGCCCCGAUGGCCUGCCGAAGCUGGCCUCCUGAUGGCCUCCUCGACGGAGAUGGACUGCCGCCAGGACAAGGGGCUGCUUGGCUGGGAGGGGGACCUGGCGUGCCGGCCACCGGGCUUCCUGGGAUUGGUGGAUGGUGCCUGGCUCUGGGCCGGGCACCAAGCUGUGGUGGAGUGGGGGCCGUGGAGGGACGUCUACAGGUGCCUAGUCAGGAGCGGGCCCCAGCACCUCGCCUCACUGCACCUGCACACGGCGCUCUGCCGACACGGGAGCCUGGAUCAGGAGACGAGACCUGGGCUCGGAGCUGCGAGUGCGUCUCCCAGUGAAAGGCCCUCUGGGCCACUCCCACUGCCCCAGGGCAGCAGCAUGACCUGGGGUGGACUGGUGUCGCCCUCAGAGCUGAAGGAUAGGUCUUGGGACGCUUCCUGGACGUGCCCUGCCGGACCCUGAGCUCAGGCCCCGCGCGUGCAGC